AGAAGUCCUGGCUAACUCCGUGCCAGCAGCCGCGGUAAUACGGAGAGGGCUAGCGUUAUUCGGAAUUAUUGGGCGUAAAGGGCGCGUAGGCUGGUUAGUAAGUUAAAAGUGAAAUCCCAAAGCUUAACUUUGGAAUUGCUUUUAAAACUGCUAAUCUAGAGAUCGAAAGAGGAUAGAGGAAUUCCUAGUGUAGAGGUGAAAUUCGUAAAUAUUAGGAGGAACACCAGUGGCGAAGGCGUCUAUCUGGUUCAAAUCUGACGCUGAGGCGCGAAGGCGUGGGGAGCAAACAGGAUUAGAUACCCUGGUAGUCCACGCUGUAAACGAUGAGUGCUAA
rnacentral:rRNA from 1 species